UAUAAAGUAAGCUAAACAAAGCUAGUGGGUUCAUACCCCAAAUAUGAUUAAUAUCCUUUAUAA
rnacentral:tRNA from 1 species